rnacentral:rRNA from 1 species
GACGAACCGUGCGAACGUUAUUCGGAAUCACUGGGCUUAAAGCGCGUGUAGGCGGGCCGCCGCGUCGGCUGCUGAAAUCCCCCGGCUCAACCGGGGAACGGGCACCGAUACGGGCGGCCUCGAGGGGGGUAGGGGGGUCUGGAACUUCCGGUGGAGCGGUGAAAUGCGUUGAGAUCGGAAGGAACGCCCGUGGCGAAAGCGAGGCCCUGGACCCUUACUGACGCUGAGACGCGAAAGCUAGGGGAGCAAACAGG